AUGAUGCCAUCACAAUUUGGUGAGAAUGGGAAGCCAAAAGGGCUUUCUUUAGGUAUAUGCAGACAUCAUAGAUUGUGUUGUUCGUCGGGCAACUUAUUUUGAAUCGUAUAAUUUAAGAAAUUUAUAGUUUUGGUUGAUUAGGUUUAAAUCAACAUGUUUGCUACGACAUGAUGACUUCUUUCCUUGGACAGCCACACCUUUAGAAGACAUUUGCAAAUCACUUUUCUGUUUGCCAUGCUUGUUGUGCUUAAGAUGCAUAAAAGACACAUUCACAUCGAAGGAGAGAUAGAAUAAAGAUCCGAGGAGGCUUUAUACACCCGGUUACCUUUAUCACAUCGUAGAGAGAAAACCUUUCAGAUGCGGUAGGUUUACACCAGUUGUAAGCAGAGCGGUCCCUCUAGAUGGGAGAUUUGAGCACAUAGUUCUUUUUUGCAAUGCUACCACGCCAUCAUUUGGAUAGAUAGGGAAGUUAAAAGGGAUUUAGAUACUAGUGCCAGAGGUUUUUGUGUCAACUGUGGAAGAUAGAAAACUUGAAGAUACAAAACAAGGUGGAAUAUGGGCUUGAAGGCUACUUCAAAUGUGAAGUAGGUUGUUCUUUUAUCAGGUGAACAAGUUUGGAUAUCCUGAACUUUACAUACGUAGGAAUUGUUUUUUACUUCUACCUUCCUCAUAAUUUUGGAACUGUUUUGUUGGUGUAUAAGACCCGGGAGUUGAGUCAAAUGUAGGGCGAAACCAUUCAACCUUGAUUGUACUUGGCGGAAUGUAACAAACAGUUUGCUUCUACUUUAUGCGAAACCGAACAACAUCACAACGCGACGAGCACUUCUUCUAUUGUUCUUAACUUGUAAGACCCCGCCCGCAACGCGUAUGUAUCACAUAUAAAACCUAUGUAUAAAAAAUGUAUGUAUCACAUAUAUACGUAUUUAAAAAUAUAAAAUAAAUUAU
rnacentral:lncRNA from 1 species